GGUGUGGAGACCACGGAAGGCUAUGACCGCCCCAGCUGACGUCUGUGGCUGCCGAUGGAGAUCACGGGCAUCUUCAUAUCCCGGAGCCAGCUGUGUCCAUGGCACUUGAAUGAGCCGUAGGCCAGCUCGUUCCAGGCUUGGUGCUGGCAAAACAGGACAUUGGCCAAACCGAUGUGGAGGUGCCAUCUUGCUCACCACACGUGGGGCAGGGUGCUCCGAAGAUACCGCUCCCACGGGGGACCACCUGUGGCGGGAUGGCGGGAACUGGGCAAGCGUUUCUGUGUGGACACAGCAACUCCCCAUCACCAAG